UACGAAGGGUGCAAGCGUUACUCGGAAUUACUGGGCGUAAAGCGUGCGUAGGUGGUUUGUUAAGUCUGAUGUGAAAGCCCUGGGCUCAACCUGGGAAUUGCAUUGGAUACUGGCAGGCUAGAGUGCGGUAGAGGAUGGCGGAAUUCCCGGUGUAGCAGUGAAAUGCGUAGAGAUCGGGGAGGAACAUCUGUGGCGAAGGCGGCCAUCUGGACCAGCACUGACACUGAGGCACGAAAGCGUGGGGAGCAAACAGG
rnacentral:rRNA from 1 species